UAGGAUCCAUUAUUAAUUAUUGUAUGCCAUGCCCCCCACCCCAUCAUCAUGCUUUGUUGCUGUAAAUCUGAAGUUCUAAAGAACUUGUCCCCUGCCUUAAUCUCUUGAUUUGCUGCAGAAAUGUAUUGGUUCUGUGAAUGUGGAUUUGAUGCUGCAAAUGGAGGUGCCUAGAAAGCGUCCUGCUCAGAAGAGAGCUACUGUGAAGCCAAUCAAGCCUGAAGCUGUGAUUGUAAUCAGCCCUGACACUAAAGAAGAGGUGAAGGAAAAGAACAGCCUCCGCAGAAAGGCAGCAGCUGAAGAUUCAUCUAGAAAGACUUACUGCAACUCUCACUACUCGAAGCAAGGUUGAUUGAGACUCAUUCUCUGUUUCAGAGGUCAUUGCUGUGUAGGCCUUUGCCUGCUGAUAUAGGAAGGUGUACCUGUGUUAUUGUGAAGGAAACAUCCCCUGAUGGGUUCAAUGGAGGCGCUCUCUACUCACUCUACACCUAUUAAGGCCAUUUUUUAGCACUCCUCUAGUGUGUACUAGUUUUUUGCUUUGAUAGACAUUUAACUACUAUCUUUUCAUUUUUUUUGGCUCCAGAAGAAUGGAAGGCAGACAAUACUACAACUUGAAUAUGUGAUGGACUAUAGAUGUCCAAUGACUGGCUACCAAGCCGUCUGCAUAUGCUGGCUUCCAUUGAUGCAAAGCUUUGCGGCACAGUGUAAUGGGGGACUCUACUUCAUUUGUGGUUCAACCUCUGAACACAAAGAAAAUGCAAGUAAACCUGCCCAUGGGGUUUGAGUUUUUGAUCAUUAAUCUUUGCAUUGAACCUGUCAUGUCCAAGCUUUUGUCAAAGCCUUUCGUCAAUGCUUUAAUGCAGAUCAAGGCCAAUAAUCCUCCUGGCUGCCCAUGGACUGAACGUUAAAUUACCAAAGGAGAAGAUUGAAGAUAUUGAUGCUGGAGGUGUGUACAAUGAGUUGGCAGUUGUGGAGUAUGCAGAAGACAUUUACAAGUUCUACAAGGAAGUUGAGGGUUGUGUUUACUGUAUAGGCUAGAUCAAUGUCAAACAAGGAAGUUGAGUAGGACAAGUUUGAACAUGGUGACUCUUUCUAUUGGAUGUUGCUCUUGCACACAGUUUAAAUUGAUGGAUCAAGAAGGACGAGAACUUUUGUGAGCAAAUAAGGUUAGUCCACCCAUUCCUUUUCACUCAAUGAUAACAUACCUUCAAAUGUGCAUAUAGCUUUUUGUUAUGACGCUGCUUUUUGUUAUAACAUACCUUCAAAUUGAUGGAUCAAGAAGGACGAGAACUUUUGUGAGCAAAUAAGUAGGACAAGUUUGAGCAUGGUGUUUCUAUUGGAUGUUGCUCUUGCACACAGUUUAAAUUGAUGGAUCAAGAAGGACAAGAACUUUUGUGAGCAAAUAAGGUUAGUCCACCCAUUCCUUUUCACUCAAUGAUAACAUACCUUCAAAUGUGCAUAUAGCUUUUUGUUAUAACACUGCUUUUUGUUAUAACAUACCUUCAAAUUGAUGGAUCAAGAAGGACGAGAACUUUUGUGAGCAAAUAAGGUUAGUCCACCCAUUCCUUUUCACUCAAUGAUCACAAAGUUGUAAUUCCAGCUAAAUAUGGCGAUACCUCGGUAAUUAGACUAUAUCUCAGCCUAGGAAUAUCCAAAUGAAGUGAUUCUUGAGCCAUUGGAAAGAAAACUUCAAGUGAUACAACUCUUAUGAAAACCUCAAAGCAUGAUUUGAAACGGAAAAUGGUCAAAAUAAGGCUGCAAGCCGGACCUGCGGCGCAGGGUGAUUCUCGACGCGUCGAGAAGAGGCA